CGCGCGGCCGCCAUGGCGGCCCGGCGCUCGGCGGGGAAACAGCCGCUGAUCCCUGAGGGAGAAGGCUCCAGUGCAGGGCCGUGUUAACGGAAAAAAUCCAGCUUUUACCAUAGGAGAGUGCGUUUAGGGGGUAAAAAAGAAUCACAGAAUCAUUCAGGUGGGAAAAGACCUCUGAAUCUGUGCCAAAUCACCACCACCCCAACCAGCACUGAGUGCUACAUCCAGUCAUUCCUUGAACACCUCCAGGGUUGAUGGAGUCCAGCAGUUAAGAAGAACCCAGCACUCCUGUAUAUGGAUAAUAUCUUUCACUGGAUUAGAUUAAAUAAAAAUGGAACCUCUGCUAUUUCAACAGCAGCCUAGGAGCUUUUGGAGGGAGGGGACCUUCCUUCAGCUUUGGGUUUGAGAAAUAUUUUGUAAGGGGAGACGUGGUUGUGGCAGCCAGGAGAGUGCAAACCACCAGGAGAGUGCAAACAAUCAGAAAAGUAUAAACAACCAGGAGAGUCCAAACAACCAGGAGAGUGGAAACCACCAGGAGAUUGCAAACAGCGAGGAGAAUGCAAACAACCACGAGAAUGCAAACCACCAGGAGAGUACAAACAACCAGUAGAGUACAAACAACCCAUCCCAGGUCCCUCUCUUGUCCCUGAAGCGUGCUCAAGCCAUGCUAGCCACGGGAUACUCAUCCCAAGCUGUCAGGAAUACAGGACAGGGAGCGUGCUCCAGAGUGCUCCUGGUGACACUAACUCAGCUGGACAGCCUGUGCUCUGCAGGAGAAGGCAGUUUUCCUGCUGCUGCUCUGUCUGGUACCUCAGGGCUGUACCAAAGAAAUGAGAUUUCACUUGCUGAGUCAGGGGCAAAGAUUGUGUUUGACAGGGCUGAGUCAUCUCUCCAAGCUCAUCCCCAGGCUGCUUCCCAAAAGCACAGCUCCUGAAAUGAGCCCAGAGCCCUCAAAUCCUGGGGAGAGUGGGGGCAGGAGGGGGUUAGGACAGCAGCCUGUUUGUCCUGCCUGGCCUGCUCUCCUGCCAGGCUCUCCUUGUCAGGAUGCUGAGUCUCUGGGGCCACAUCUGGCUCGGGGCACUGAGGCAGCAGCAGAGGCUGGAGCCCAGGGCUGAUGGCACCCGAUGGAUUUGCUCUCCUGGGCACACUCACCCUGGAGUUCUGUUCUAUUAGAUCUUCUCCCCAAUGGAUGAACCCUGAGGCAUCUGCAGGGAUGGUCUUCAAGGGGAAUUUGUCACCUUGUGUCACGUUCAUGUGUGGCUGCUCAAAGCUCUGGCAAUAAAGAGCAGUUGCCAUGGGCAAAUGUGGAUAAGCAGGACCAGAGCAGCUCAUUCCCACUUAAACUACUCUCAGAGUGAGGUGGACAUGGUGCACAAAAUAAUUUUGAAGUCCAUUAGAAGCAUUUUAUAGCAUAGAAUAAAAGAGAUUUUCUUAAGGCACCUGCACUGGGAGUUCAAGUGAAGGUCCUUCACUCUGCUCAGCACAGGCAGCAGUGCCUGGUGGCUGCUUACUCAUCCCUCAGCAGAGAAGUGAGAGCAGAGACUCAGGCCCUGCUCUAACCCACUUGCAAGUCAUUCCCCAAGAACAUCCUCAGAGAGGAAGGAUGGGCUUGGGUCACUUUUACCCUGUGACUCAUUUAAUCCCUCGUGUGAGCACAUAGCAACAAAACCACACAGUGACAUCAGGAGUGACACAGACACACCAGCCUCCUCCAGCAAGGGGCAGAAGGCAAAAUAAACAAGUACUGAGACAUGAGUUAGACCAGGAGCCCUCUACAAAGCAGCUGCUGAAACUGAACUGCCCAAAUCCCACUGGGCAGACAUUGGGAGUGGUCACUCACACACAGAAAAGCAGAACUCCCGAGGCAGAGGGAGAACUGGGCCCAAAGCAGAGCUCCAGGGGCAGGUCCAGCUCUGGGACUGACUGUGGAGACACCCUCAGUUCCUCCUUGCCCUGGCAGCUGGAGCAAGGCUUGUCACGGGGGUGCAGAGCAGGCAAUUAUAGAAGCAGGGAUGCCACAGGGCUGGCCAGCUCUCUAUUUAUAGUUCCCUGCCAGCACAGCUCUCCCUCUGUGCUCCUGCUCACAGGUGAAGGCACAGGCCAUGCCCUGAAAGGCUCACAGGCCAAGUGAAAACAGAAGGAGGAAGGACUAGCUAUCCCUUUUAUGAUGAGAACCAAGAAUCAGAGAUGAAAUGACAAAAAAGAAAUCCACAGAGAGCCUGGAACAAUGAAUUCCAACUUCUCCCCCCAAAAUUGCCCUGUAUUUGGUUAACCUCUUCCCUGCCUGAAGUACCAUCUCUCUGCCAUUCUUAAUUGGUGUCAGUGAAGUGUUCUGCAAGCUGUGGCCCCUCUUUCCACUGUUGAAUUGUUUCCAGCAGAGGUGGGAGAAGGGCUCUGGGCCUGCCUGUCCCCCUGCAGCCCCGGGUUCGUGGCCAGGGUGGGAGGCAGCAGAUCAGACAGCAUCCCAGACACUGCCCUGCCCCAUGAUCCACUCCAGAGUGAGCCUCUGCCAGCUCCAGGGGUUCAGGGUGGCAGCUGGCCAGGGGUCCAAGUCAAAGAGUUGCCAUUGUUUCAUGGGGAGGAUUAAACCACAAGCUGUUUGUGAGCUGAACUUUGAAGUGUCUCCCCAGUGAUCUGAAAUGUGAUCAUGCAACAAAGAGAGACCUCUACAAAUACUCUUUUUGUGUUUGAAGCUGGAGACCUUUCACUGGUUUAUUUUUAGGCAUGCAUUUGCACUGGCCCUCUUACAAUCCUGCCUCUGUUCUUGUGCAAUAAAAGACAGAGGGGAUUCACUUGACCUCCAGUAUCAAAUACAGAAAAAAUAAGGCAUUUGUCUGGAAAAGAACCACCCAAAAUAGCAGGGAAGGGGUCAUGCUGUGAUAUGGACUGUUAGUGUUGAAAGACAAGAAAAAUGAGGAUUAUAGGAGCUGGCAGACUUCCUCUAAUGACAUAUUAAUGAAAACUGCUAGAAAAUUAUAUGGUGAUGCUAAUUAGUAUUUGUAGGUUUAAGGACCUGAGAUCUUUCCCAUGUACACUAAACAUGUGUCUGAGAGUAAGAAAUAAUCCCUGCUGAGGUGACUUCUCAGUUUUCAUUGAGGAUUUGUUCUAGAUCCAGAGCAUUUCCUUUGCUACACGUGGCUUUAGCUGAGAAACUGAUGCUCUGCAUCAGCCAGCUCAUGUUCCCUAACCCCCUCACAGCCCCUCCUCAGGCCUUGCAACACCCUGAUGUAGACAAUUAUCACUACAUUCAUUUUCUGUCUUGCCCCUCCUUGAAGAAGCUGGGGAAAGAGCCCAGAGGACCUGACUGGAUGUUUAAUUUCUGUCACAUCAGCAGGGCCAUCUGCAGCAGGCAUUUCCCACUGACAAGAGAAGGAAGGUUAAAACCUCUCAUGACAGGUUAACAGCAUGAUUUGCAGCAACAGCUUAAAUAAAUGGUUCCAGGCAUGAAAGAGUAGCAGGCAGCUAAUCCUUUAAAGACUUAAGAGCAGCUACUACUUCAGCCCAAGUAAAUAUUUCAAAACAAAAUUAAUUAGUGGUGACUAGUGGAUUUGCUGCCCUUUGCUUUAACAGCCCAGGAUGAAACAGUGAUUCUUCCACAGAAUUUUUGCUUCCGUGCCAAACCUGCUGUUUCACAGGAGCUGAAAGUCCUCUCAAAGAAGAUUCAUCACAGCUUUGUUCCUCUCUGUAACUGCAGAGCUGGAAAAGCUCUGCAUGAACCUCACAGAUCUGUGUUGCUGUGGGAGGGGAGGUCCCUUUGUGCUGCCCAGGGAUGAGGACAACAGCACAGCUCAGAAUCCAGCCCGAGUACAGUGUGGAGGAAGGAAAUGUCACUUCCUGAUUCUUAUCAGAAGAAAGCUCUGUCCAUGCAGGCCACAAAACAGAGCUCCCAGUAAUUGCCUUACUUCCAAUUGAAAGCAGUUCCUUAAUCCCUUCCCAGACAGGAGAGCAGGAAAGGAAAAGCCUCAGGGAAACAAGUCCUGAGCCAGCACAAACCAUGGUCUGACUGAGCCACAACAGCAAACCAGUCAAUCCCAUCAAUUGGAAACAAUAAUUUCUAAUCAACAAUUGAGUUCUUCCCCCCACGACCCUUGGCUCCACCUCAGAACAAAGCCAACUCUCUUGGGAGGCUCUGUCAUGGCCUUGCUGCACUGUCUGGACUAUUUUUAAUCAAAUCCAGCAUUCCUAAAAAACCUCAAGCUGCUUUUGUACUCAGGAGGGGGAGAGGAAGUGCUGUGCACAGGCACAUCCCACACAGCACACAGGAGUGGGACCAGCACCUGCCUUGGAGCAGGGCAGCACAGCUGGGCCAGCACAGAGCCUGGGAAAACAGCAAAGAUUGUCUCUUCUCAUCAGGCUGAGAAGGCAGGAAGGGAAGGCAGGACUGGCCCGGGCUGGAAGGGUGUCUGCAGUGGUUGGGAGGCCAGGGAGAUGCAAGGGCUGGGGGAUGUCCCCUACCUGCUGAAGGGAUGCAGCUCCUGAGGACAGCAGCAGGGGAGGCCAGCUGGGAAGGCAGGACCAGCCAGAGCCCUGGAGGAGCUGUCAGGGCAGAGAUCUUGAGAAGAGCAGGACAAACACUCCAAGGGAAGGGCCAGGAGGAGGCUCCAGGCGAGGCUCAGGCAGAGGGGAUGAGGAGCAGUCCCAUGGAUGGGCUGAUGUUCAGGACUUUUAAGGACCAGGCACGAGGGGGAGGAGUGUGGAGAGCACUUGGAGAAGCUCAUUCAGAGCAGGGCACAGCACAGAUCCCUCUCGAAGUUGUGCUGAGUCAUUUCUUCCUGCCCUGAGGGGUUUUUACGUGGCUUUUGUGCCACAGCAAAUCCCUAUUUCUGUAGGGAGCCUCUCUGUGAAGAGUGAUGCUGAAUUUGGCUAAUUGCAGGUGACAGAAAGCAAACCCGGGCUGGGCUGAGUGCUCCUGCAGAACAGCCCCAGGGAAGCAGCAGAGAUGCUGCUGCUCAUUUGCUGUUUGCUCACACACAGCGCUGGCUUCCCGGCUCUGUUCACAGCCUGGGGGUCGUAGCUUCACAUCCUCUCUGUGUUGUUUCACACAACUUCUACUGAAAUGUUCUCAGGACUAAGGUCAGAGCCUGCUGCCCUGCCCAGCCCAGCCUCUCACACCUUUCCCAAACAGGACAACACCCAGCCAGGCCCUGAGGAUGAGGUUACCAAAAAGUGAGAGGAAAUGGAAUUCACUGCUGAGAAAAUGUGAACAGAGUUACAAACUUGAAUUUCCAUGGGACCAGUGAUGGGUUUUGCUCUUCUCCCCACCCCAUAGACUUCCAGCAGCAAGUGGAGAAUCUCAGAGAGAAGGAGCAGCAGUGAUGCUUUUUCCAUAUAAACUUCCCUUCCACUUCCUCCCUCCAAAUGAACCCAGGUUCUUGUCCCCUAAGAGAGGCUGAUUCAUGGUUUGACGUCAGCAGCUGCUCUCCUGGCCAGAGCCAGCUGGAAUUGACACAUUCCAGCUGCUGCCAGCAGCAGUGUCCCUUGUGCCCUGAGCCAACCCAGCAGCUGGGGCUGGCAGCAGAGAGGGAAGGUGCCCAGCUGUGCCUCCAGAGGUGGAAAGGGAGAGCCUGAACUUAACCAGCUCUUCCUCAGAGUGCAGUGCUGGGAUUCACACAGGGGAGUAGAGACAAGU